GGCGCGUAAAUUACCCACUCCCAGCUCGGGGAGGUAGUGACGAAAAAUAACAAUACAGGACUCAUAUUAGAGGCCCUGUAAUUGGAAUGAGUACACUUUAAAUCCCUUAACAAGGACCUAUUGGAGGGCAAGUCUGGUGCCAGCAGCCGCGGUAACUCCAGCUCCAAUAGCGUAUAUUAAAGUUGUUGCGGUUAAAACGUUCGUAGUUGAACUUGUGCUUCAUACGGGUAGUACGACUAUAAUUGUAGUUUGUACUGUACCUUAUGUAUGUAAGCGUAUUACCGGUGGAGUUCUUAUAUGUAUUAAAUACUUGUAUUUGUACAUAUUCCUCCUAUUUAAACCUGCUUCAGUGCUCUUCAUCGAGUGUUGUUGUGGGCCGGUACAAUUACUUUGAACAAAUUAGAGUGCUUAAAGCAGGCUCCAAAUGCCUGAAUAUUUUGUGCAUGGAAUAAUGAAAUAAGACCUCUGUUCUACUUUCAUUGGUUUUUAGAUCAAGAGGUAAUGAUUAAUAGAAGCAGUUUGGGGGCAUUAGUAUUACGACGCGAGAGGUGAAAUUCUUGGACCGUCGUAAGACUAACUUAAGCGAAAGCAUUUGCCAAAGAUGUUUUCAUUAAUCAAGAACGAAAGUUAGAGGUUCGAAGGCGAUCAGAUACCGCCCUAGUUCUAACCAUAAACGAUGCCAGCUAGCAAUUGGGUGUAGCUACUAUCAUGGCUCUCUCAGUCGCUUCCCGGGAAACCAAAGCUUUUGGGCUCCGGGGGAAGUAUGGUUGCAAAGCUGAAACUUAAAGGAAUUGACGGAAGGGCACCACCAGGAGUGGAGC
rnacentral:rRNA from 1 species